UACAGAGGUCUCAAGCGUUGUUCGGAUUCAUUGGGCGUAAAGGGUGCGUAGGUGGCGCCGUAAGUGGGGUGUGAAAUUUCGGAGCUUAACUCCGAAACUGCAUUCCAUACUCCGGUGCUUGAGGACUGGAGAGGAGACUGGAAUUUACGGUGUAGCAGUGAAAUGCGUAGAGAUCGUAAGGAAGACCAGUGGCGAAGGCGGGUCUCUGGACAGUUCCUGACACUGAGGCACGAAGGCCAGGGGAGCAAACGGG
rnacentral:rRNA from 1 species